CUCGACAUCAGGGCCCAGGGUUGAUGAAUUCUGUCAUUUUGCCAUCCACAGCAGAAUAUGUUGCUUAAAGCUAGCCUACUUGACAGAAACGUUUGCUUAAAGAUUUUUAAAACAAACUGAUGCCUGUAUUCAAACGAAGUAGCGAACCUCACCCCGUGCAGUAUGGAAAACACGCACCGUUCAACUUGUUACAUCAUACAAUAAAAACUAUAAACGUGACCGUUUCUAUAUUUGUAGGCGUGGGGUGUUUUUAAAUCAUGUAACGAAAAGGACGGCCUAACCUCACUGCUAACCUUACUGUUGUGACAAGAGCAAAUCAGGUCCUGCAGAGACCUUGUGUGCGUUACCUGUUGUGCCAAUUAACUCUGUUUACAUCCAGUCACGCUUUCCCAUCGGAGCAACUACCUUAAUUUUUGUGCCAGCGUGGGAUUAAAUGCUGCGUUUUCGUCUCCACUGAUAGGUAAUAUCUUGAUUAACUUAAUAAUGAUAAACGUAAGCCUUGAUUCGUGUCGCGUUUUUCUUAUAGCAAUGUUCAAAUCAAAGACGGCGGCGGCAUCAAAGAAAGAACAACAACAACCCACAACACGUAGAGAAACACAUUUCUCAAGGACACGUGGAGUAGUCUAAUGCCCGAAAAUUGGUCAAUAAACGGAAAGAAGAAGGACACCAUGAAAAAUGGUAUGCAUGUUUAACUUCACUUUUACUUCAAAUUGAAACUCUUACAAUUGAGAAAUUGAUAUGUAUAACCAUUCUCUCUUUCUCUUUCUCUUUCAGGGACCAAGAUGCAGAAUGAAUUGGAGUUGUGCCCAUUGGUCUGUCCAAACCCUUGUGUGUAGAAGACUUGCAAUGAUGAUAAUUGGAUUUGUUCAUGUUGUGUUUUAGAAAGAUUUAUAGGAUAGUUAUAGUGUCUAUUAUGGAUUAUACAAGCAUUGUGAGAAGACUUUUAUGUUCUUAAUGUUUUGAGUUUCAUAUUUUACCAAGUGUUAGAACCUAGUGAUACUUUUAAGCAGUGUACAAAUGUUGGUAUUGCUGUUUUUAAGACUGCUGUUAUUUACAAUAGAAAAGGUAUUGCAUUGCAUUACAUGAAAAUAGAGGGAGAC
rnacentral:lncRNA from 1 species